GAAGAAAGAGGGAGGAGGGAGGAAAAAAGGAAAGUAGAAUGGAAAGGCCCUGCUUUUGUGGGGUGCUCGAGUGGCGAACGGGUGAGUAACACGUGAGUAACCUGCCCUUGACUUUGGGAUAACUUCAGGAAACUGGGGCUAAUACCGGAUAGGAGCUCCUGCUGCAUGGUGGGGGUUGGAAAGCUUCGGCGGUUGGGGAUGGACUCGCGGCUUAUCAGCUUGUUGGUGGGGUAGUGGCUUACCAAGGCUUUGACGGGUAGCCGGCCUGAGAGGGUGACCGGCCACAUUGGGACUGAGAUACGGCCCAGACUCCUACGGGAGGCAGCAGUGGGGAAUAUUGCACAAUGGGCGGAAGCCUGAUGCAGCAACGCCGCGUGCGGGAUGACGGCCUUCGGGUUGUAAACCGCUUUCGCCUGUGACGAAGCGUGAGUGACGGUAAUGGGUAAAGAAGCACCGGCUAACUACGUA
rnacentral:rRNA from 1 species